GGAAUCUUCGGCAAUGGGGGCAACCCUGACCGAGCAACGCCGCGUGAGUGAAGAAGGUCUUCGGAUCGUAAAGCUCUGUUGUAAGAGAAGAACGUGUGUGAGAGUGGAAAGUUCACACAGUGACGGUAACUUACCAGAAAGGGACGGCUAACUACGUGCCAG
rnacentral:rRNA from 1 species